GCAGGCGCGAAACCUUUACACUGCACGACAGUGCGAUAGGGGGAUCCCAAGUGCACAGGCAUAGCGCCUGUGCUUUUCGGUACCCUAAGGCGGUACCAGAAUAAGGGCUGGGCAAGACCGGUGCCAGCCGCCGSGGUAAUACCGGCAGCCCAAGUGAUGGCCGAUCUUAUUGGGCCUAAAGCGUCCGUAGCUGGCCGUACAAGUCCAUCGGGAAAUCCACCUGCUCAACAGGUGGGCGCCCGGUAGAAACUGUGCGGCUUGGGACCGGAAGGCGCGACGGGUACGUCCGGGGUAGGAGUGAAAUCCCGUAAUCCUGGACGGACCGCCGAUGGCGAAAGCACGUCGCGAGAACGGAUCCGACAGUGAGGGACGAAAGCCAGGGUCUCGAACCGGAUUARAUACCCGGGUAGUCCUGGCCGUAAACAAUGUCUGCUAGGUGUGGCUCCCACUACGAGUGGGUGCUGUGCCGUAGGGAAGCCGYUAAGCAGACCGCCUGGGAAGUACGUCCGCAAGGAUGAAACUUAAAGGAAUUGGCGGGGGAGCACUACAACCGGAGGAGCCUGCGGWUUAAUUGGAGUCAACGCCGG
rnacentral:rRNA from 1 species